rnacentral:rRNA from 1 species
GGAUGAACGCUAGCGGCAGGCUUAACACAUGCAAGUCGAGGGGCAGCAUACCCAGCAAUGGGUGAUGGCGACCGGCGGAAGGGUGCGUAACGCGUGAGCAACAUACCCUAUACAGGGGGAUAAGCCAGGGAAACUUGGUCUAAUAUCCCAUAGGAAAUAGAUAAGGCAUCUUAUUUAUUUUAAAGCUUCGGUGGUAUAGGAUUGGCUCGCGUGACAUUAGCUAGAUGGAGGGGUAACGGCCCACCAUGGCAAUGAUGUCUAGGGGUUCUGAGAGGAAGAUCCCCCACACUGGGACUGAGACACGGCCCAGACUCCUACGGGAGGCAGCAGUGAGGAAUAUUGGACAAUGGAUGGAAAUCUGAUCCAGCCAUGCCGCGUGCAGGAAGACGGCCCUAUGGGUUGUAAACUGCUUUUAUACGGGAGCAAUAAGGUCUAUGCAUAGAUUGAUGAGAGUACCGUAUGAAUAAGCAUCGGCUAACUCCGUGCCAGCAGCCGCGGUAAUACGGAGGAUGCGAGCGUUAUCCGGAUUUAUUGGGUUUAAAGGGUGCGCAGGCGGACAUUUAAGUCAGGGGUGAAAUCCUACAGCUUAACUGUAGAACUGCCCUUGAUACUGAAUGCCUAGAGUAAAGCUGAAGUGGGCGGAAUGUGUUGUGUAGCGGUGAAAUGCUUAGAUAUAACACAGAACACCAAUCGCGAAGGCAGCUCACUAAACUUUAACUGACGCUCAUGCACGAAAGCGUGGGGAGCAAACAGGAUUAGAUACCCUGGUAGUCCACGCCCUAAACGAUGAUCACUCGCUGUUGGCGAUAUAUUGUCAGUGGCUAAGCAAAAGUGAUAAGUGAUCCACCUGGGGAGUACGACCGCAAGGUUGAAACUCAAAGGAAUUGACGGGGGCCCGCACAAGCGGAGGAGCAUGUGGUUUAAUUCGAUGAUACGCGAGGAACCUUACCAGGGCUCGAACGCAGGAGGAAUACUCCCGAAAGGAAGUAGCCAGAAAUGGCCGCCUGCGAGGUGCUGCAUGGUUGUCGUCAGCUCGUGCCGUGAGGUGUCAGGUUAAGUCCUAUAACGAGCGCAACCCCUAUUCAUAGUUGCCAGCAUAUUACGGUGGGGACUCUAUGAAAACUGCCUGCGCAAGCAGUGAGGAAGGUGGGGAUGACGUCAAAUCAGCACGGCCCUUAUGUCCUGGGCUACACACGUGCUACAAUGGCCGGUACAGAAGGCCGCAACCACGCAAGUGGAAGCUAAUCCCUAAAACCGGUCUCAGUUCGGAUUGGAGUCUGCAACCCGACUCCAUGAAGCCGGAUUCGCUAGUAAUCGCACAUCAGCCAUGGCGCGGUGAAUACGUUCCCGGGCCU